rnacentral:rRNA from 1 species
UACGUAGGGUGCAAGCGUUGUCCGGAAUUAUUGGGCGUAAAGAGCUCGUAGGCGGUCUGUCGCGUCGAAUGUGAAAACCCGGGGCUCAACCCCGGGCCUGCAUUCGAUACGGGCAGACUAGAGUUCGGUAGGGGAGUCUGGAAUUCCUGGUGUAGCGGUGAAAUGCGCAGAUAUCAGGAGGAACACCGGUGGCGAAGGCGGGACUCUGGGCCGAUACUGACGCUGAGGAGCGAAAGCCAGGGGAGCAAACGGG